rnacentral:rRNA from 1 species
GACGAACCGUGCAAACGUUGUUCGGAAUCACUGGGCUUAAAGGGCGCGUAGGCGGGCCAGCCAGUCUGUGGUGAAAGCCUCCAGCUUAACUGGAGAAGUGCCGUGGAUACUGCUGGCCUCGAGGAGGGUAGGGGCAUCUGGAACGGUCGGUGGAGCGGUGAAAUGCGUUGAUAUCGACCGGAACUCCGGUGGCGAAGGCGAGGUGCUGGGCCCUUUCUGACGCUGAGUGCGCGAAAGCCAGGGGAGCGAACAGG